UCGUGAGACAGUUCGGUCCCUAUCCGUCGCGGGCGUUGGAAAUUUGAGAGGAGCUGUCCUUAGUACGAGAGGACCGGGAUGGACUUACCGCUGGUGUACCAGUUGUUCUGCCAAGGGCAUUGCUGGGUAGCUAUGUAGGGAAGGGAUAAACGCUGAAAGCAUCUAAGUGUGAAGCCCACCUCAAGAUGAGAUUUCCCAUUUCUUUAAGAAAGUAAGAUUCCUGAGAGAUGAUCAGGUAGAUAGGUCAGGAGUGGAAGUACAGUGAUGUAUGGAGCGGACUGAUACUAAUCGAUCGAGGACUUAACCAAU
rnacentral:rRNA from 1 species